GGAUUUUAUGUUUGGCUUAGCAACUCGAAAUGUAAUGAAACGCAUCGUUUUCUGUUUAGGAGGAUGAACCUAUUCUUCAUCUCCGCCAUAGAAGAACUAAACUCGAUCUAGCAUUUUGAAACAAAGACGGUGGUGAGAAUUAGGGUUAGCCGUCUUCAUCUCAGUGAUGAACGAGCUCCAGCAACAAUGGAGAUCAAAUCGAGUCAGACGAAUCGUCUUUGAGAACCUUGGUAUCAAGCAGCCGCCGUUUCGUAUUCGGUCCGGUCCCCUAGACGUUACAGGUUGUCUUCAUUCAUCGGAUUUAAGAGAUAUUAACUCCACCAACGCGAAUUAAGCAGGACGUCUCAUUCAAUGAUACUCAUCCAACUCUAAGGCGAUUUUCUUUAUCUAUAAAAGGGCUGGUCACUGUUUUUCCACCAUCCAGGUGCGGUUGCUCGGAUUCUGGGAGGCCAGAAGGUGGAUAUAUAUCUAAAAUAUAUGCUUGGUUUCAGGUACUUUGGACAUCAUCGCCACAGUCGCGUGUUGAUCUUUGGAGUGCUGGCUGUGUUUUCUCUGAGAUUCUAACGAGAAGACAACUUCUUAAAGGAAGAACCUAGGUGAGAAAGAGACCAAAAACAACAUGCCGGAUUUACUCAUUCAAGAUUGAAGUUUUUGAUGACUUUUUUCUUGUGUGAGUUUGUUCUCUGUAAGAUUGAACAACCACCAUUGUGGGAAAAGAACCAGCUUCAUUGUGAAACUAGCUAAGAUGUUACCACAACAUCAGUAUGAAGGUUGUCUGAGUGAGCUUCUGAAUAAAGCGGGGGGAUUUAUUAUCUAAUCCAGAGAAACGCAGAGCUGCCUCUUUUGCUCUCAUGUGAAAGUACUUUAACACAAAGCCUUACGCUUGGACAUUAUCUAAGUACCCUCCUAACACAAAGCCUUACGCUUGGAUAUGGAAUCAACACUAAGUUACUAAGUACGGUGAAAAACUUCAACGAAGGGGAGGAGUUGGUAUAAAGAAAAGCAAUAACUUGGUAUCCAAGAAUACGGGAAAAUCACGUACAGCAAUCAAAGAGCCUAAACUCUUAAUAAGUCACCAACCCAACAGUAAGCAAAAAUGGAAGCCUAGACAGAAAUCAUUCUUCCAACGCAACCGGAGACAUCUCAGUGACGACUCGAAGCGAGGAAAGAAAACGAUGCAGCUUCAACACUUACUUAUAAUCAGCCUACUGGAUCUGCGAGCCAUCUUAGUAUAAAUGAAGACAAACUGAGCUUUCUCUGAUAGCAAGUUUAUUUAGCCUUAUCUGAUGUGUCACUGUUCUCUGGCGUACAUCACAAGAAAUCAGAAAAAAUGGUGAGUCCGUUAGGCAGGCUUUAUCGAAAGCUGAGACGAAACCAAAGAUUUUUCACACAAAUGGGAUGAAUGGUAUUACGGAGGACUGAGAGUGAUACCAGAGUUGGUGUUCGAAGACUAUCAAGAAUAUUAAGAGUUAUAAAUGAGAGAAAAAGAACUACCAUAGGUUUUAGCCAGUCAUACACUUCGCAUCAUAUGUAAAUUACAAAUUCUUCCCAGUUGUGUGUGUUAUAUGUUAUAGUGUGAAGUUUGUUUAUUGAAAUUAUGGUCAUAGGAUGGUAACUUGGUCGAGAAUUAAUAAGGUAGCCAUUUCAAAAUAUUACUUAGUCUA